rnacentral:lncRNA from 1 species
AGGCGGAAGGUCCUACUGCUGGAGAUGAAGAAGAAUCUGAGAAGUCAGUAUCUGAGGUGAAUGAUGAGGAUGAUGAUGAGGAGGGCAGUGGCGAGGUUUCUUUUUAUUCUUUUUUGCGUCAUUGCCUUGUGGUUUGUGGUAAUUAUUUGCAUGAUAUUUACUUGGUAUUGUUUAUUUCAUGCAGGAGGAGGAUGAUGAUUAGAGAGUGGACUGAUAACAAUUUAUGUAGGUUUUGAUGAUUUGGAUCAUCUUUUGUAGGUGGUCUGGUCAUUUCCUGAUGAUAAACAAACAUGUUUCUUUCUUCCAGAAAAAUAUUUCUCUGCUCCCUCCGUAAAAUUGUUUUGUCUGUCCAAAACGUGAAUAGUUGAAAGAUGGGAGAUCUUUAUUUGUACUUCUAAAUCCAACUGCUUAGUUAAGGGGUGCUUAUCUUUUGUAGAGCUUUUAGUUUGAUUUAGUUCUCUUGUUGAAAUCUGGUUAAGUUUGUAUGAAUAUAAUUGGCUUAUCUUCCCAUUUCUGCUGUAUAUAUACAUAUGCUAUGAUGCGUCACACUUCAUUCAUGUUGCUGUGCUGUAUGUUUUGUUUUUUUUUUUUGUGAUUUUAAUGUUUUGGGUGUUGUGUUCUGCACCUGAUGUAUGUGUUUUUUCAAUUUAAUGUUGCAUUGUAUCAACAUUCAUACGUGUUUUUCUAUUUGAAGUUGAAUUAUCUCAACAUUUAUUUUGAACUAAUGUUUGGCGAUAUUAAAACGUAGUUUUAAAACGAUAAAAGUUGCUGCUUUAAAAUGUAAUUGAUUAGUGUUGCUUUAAAACGAUAAAAGUUGCUGCUUUAAAAUGUAAUUGAUUAGUGUUGCUUUAAAACGUAAUUUUAAUAAAACUUUAUCGAAAUUUUAUAAUGGUGAGGUAUAUCCUUCAUCGUGUAAUCAGUUUACAUGUGUAUUUUUGUUGUUGUUGGAUCAUUUGACGAAUUUUGACUGAUGAUGAUGGUUGAUUGUAUAGUGUUUGUUGGUACUUUUCCAGUCAUGUAAUGCAUAAAAGCAUGAUCUCACAGAUUAACUGUUUCUAUUUUAUAUACAAAAGUUGUUUGUAGUUUUUCUUUCUUGUAAAAGUAUAUUUUGAAUAUUUUUCCGUUGGAAUUGUUCUAUACUUGUACUAUAAUUAUUUCAUAUACUUAAAUUUGAUCCAUUUAUAAUCCCUAUAGAAGACAAUUUAAUAUACUUUUGAUGUAUAUUAAUAUUUAUAAAAAAUAUCUUAAGUAAUUAUUUUUUAAGAACAUAUUUUUAUAAAAGAAAUUAGAUAUUAGUCUUCUGUUUGUUAUCUAUAUUAUAAUCUAGGUCGUAUUAUUUGGUUAGGGUUUUUUUGUAAUUUUAGCAAAUGUUUAAAUGUAUAGACAUGAAUAUGUAAUGGUAGUUGGGUAUUAAAUGUAUUCGCAUAAAUAUGUAAUGGCAGUUGGAUAUUAAAUAUAUAGUCAUUAAUUUGUAAAUCUGACUAUUGGAUAUUUAAGUAUACAAUCAUACAUACGCAAUAUUUAGUUAUAAAUUUUCAAAUUGACCAUGAAAUUAUUAAGAAUGCAAUUAAAUUAAUUUAAUGAGUUGAACUAUAUGUGUUUGUAUUUGAAGUAGUUUUUGAAUAUUUGAAGUAGUUUUUGAUUUAUUUUUGUGUAUAGAAUGAACAUUUUAGUAAUUUAGCAUAUUUUAAUAUUGUAUUAUAUUAGUGCAAAUUGUUCUGUUCCUUUUAAAACUCAUACCAUAAGAUUUGUGUUUGGAUUGGUUGUGAAUUUUGUUAAAUUAUUUGUGUUAUAAUAUUCUUUUUUAUCUUGUUUAAAUAUAUAUAUAUAUAUAUAUAUAUAAAUAAAAAUAUAUAUUUUAAAAAUUGAAAAUAUAUAUUGUGUGUUGUUUUAGUGUGAUUAAAAUGAUUUUUUUGAAUAAAUUUCUGAUAUUUCAAUUUUCUUUUGUAUAUGAUAUUUUGAUUUAGUUAUAUCAUUUGUUGGUUUUUCAUAUAUUUGUCAAUAUAAGGUUAUAAUGUAAUUAUAUUAUAACAUUUUUUAUAAUUAUUAUUUUUAUAUAUAAAGGGAUUUCCUUUUAACUGUUUUUUUUUUUAUAAAUUUUAUCCUCAUAUUAAUAUUUAUUUUAUUAUUUUAUCAUUCUUCUGAGUAGUUACUAAAUAUAUUAUGAUUUUUAUAAAAUUAUAUUUUGAAAACUAUUCUUUUUUCUUUUUAAAACUAAUAUUUUAAAAAAAUUAAUAUCUGUUGAGUUUUCUUUUUUUUUUUUACAUGUUUUUUAUUAUUUUAUUUAAUUAUUAUUUUGUAACUACUUGAAUUUGAAAUGGUAAAAUUAAAAAAUAUUACUUAAAUUGAAAAUUGAGAAAAAAAAACUAAUUGAAACAUCAGAAAUAUAUAAAAAAUUCUUUCUUUAAAUGUUUUUAAGUAUAUACAAUUUUAUUCCUAUAGGUAAAUAUCAAUAAAUUUGUUUAGAAGAUCGAAAAAGAGAUAUUUAAAAGAAUAAAGAGUAGGAGGAAGAAAGGAUGAUGGUUUGUUUUGAUGAGAAUAGAAGAGGUAAAUGAGGGUGUAAAACACAGGAAAAUUUCCUGUUUAUAAACACAGAAAAAAAAAAAAACGAAAAUCAGUGUCGUAUUUCGCUCUUUGCUUUCGUACACCUCGUCUUCCACGGCACACUCAUUUUGUUCCACAAAUUCUUCACCCAAUGCAGCAUCGACGCAACUCUUUGCUUCUAAACGUGAGUCUCUCACCUCUAAUUUUGUUACUUCUUUCUUUUGCUUAGGCACAAGUUGCUUUAGGUUGUUAAGGUUCUUCGCAAUACACCUUCUUUUGUUGUCAAUUUUUAAUUUUAAUUAUUAUUCGUUGCAUGAAAUUAAACUGAUCAAUCGCAAUUCGGCUGUUGCUUGGAUUUGAGAAUUAGCUCUUGGCUUUCUGAAUUAAUUUCCUUAGCAAUGCAAUUGGGUUCAGUUUGCGUUUAAGUAUUGGUGGAUGUUGAGAAAGAAAGGACAUAGGGAAGAAAAGGGAUUAACAUGCUCUUAAGGAUAAGAAAAAAUAAUCAUAUUUUAUUAUAUUUAUUUUUUAUGUAAUAUUUUUCAUAAUUAAUAAUAAUUGGGAUGAAUUUUUUAUUAUUAUUUAAUGAUAUCAUGUUUAUUAUUUAAAAAUAAAAAUGUAGAGGUUAUAAGGUUUUUACAUGCAUCUGCUGUUGUAAUUAUUAUACUGAAAACUAUUUUUAUUUCUUUUAUUCAGAUGCUUAAAAUUGACUGGUUAUAUAAUUGAAAAACGAUCAAAAAUUGAAAACUGACCCAUUCUAACUUGUUACUUUAGAUUUUGAUUUGAGUAAGUAAUGAUUUAUUAUUAUGUUUUCAUUUAAUAAUAUUUGUGUAGAGUUAAUCCACAAGUAAUAAGAACCUAAAAGUAUUGUUUAAUUGUUUGAUGAUAAAAGAAUGAAGAUAUGAGAACGUGUAUUUUGUUACUGUGAAUGAAAAAUAUAACCAAGAUUAUGAAACAAAAUAUUAAUGAUAGUCAGAUAUGAGAGUGAAACUUGUUUACUAUGGUUAUCAAUUUGUUUUUAUUAAAAUUAGAUACUAAAGGAGCAUUAUAAUUUUUAAUAAUAAAAUUAUAUAAUUGAUUUAUAAAUGAGUGAAAAUUAUAAAUAAUUAAUUAUAUUAAAAUAGUUUAAGACAGUUUUUUUAUUUCAAUAAUAUUUUAUUAUAACAUGUUUAACAUUUUUUUCUCAUAAAUCACUUUGAUUUCUUUUGUAAAAAUAUUUAGUCUGUGUAAUUUAAAGUUUAUAUUAAAUUUAAAAAUAUAAUCUUUUGUAAAUAAUAGUCUUUUUUGUUGUUGAGCCAAUUUAUUAAAGUAAAAAUAUAAUCAAAUUUUUAAUUUUAUUUGGUAUUGAAUUCUUCUAUAUCUUGGAUGCAAAAUCAGUACUAUUAUCUUUUAAUUUUAACAAUUAUAUAGUUUUAUACUUAUUAAAACUAUUGGUGAAGUUUAUUUGAUGUUUUAAUUUAUAUGUUUUUUAAAACUUUAUUUUAUUUUUUACUAGCAUAUAUUUAAUAGUAAAAUAUUGAAUACACACAAAAUUAAUUUCAAAGUGUGUGAGUUUAUAUUCAGUGUUAUGAUAUUGGACUUUUGCCCAUAUGAUGCAUUUUCAACUUUUACUAGAUUAGCUUGAAAAACUUUUUACUCAGUGCAUAUCAUUUCACCAAGUAUAUCUUUAUUUUUUAAAACUCACUAAACAUUUUGAAAUUGGGUUUCCAAAUUUUGUAAUCACAUACACAAUGUUAUUUUCUUAUUUAGUUUAUUUUCUCAUAUUUGACAUUUGUUUAUAUUUUUUUUUAUUUUGGAUUUUUUAUUAUGUCAUUUCUCUGUUUUUUAUUAUCUCAAAAUUGCAUUAUUUAUUAUUUUUAUCAUCAUUGAAUAGUUUUACAUAAAUUAAAUUAAUUUCAUUAAUCUUUUUUUGAAAAUGUAAUUUUUUAUUGUACAAGAUACUGUUUUGAAACAAUCAAAUUCAAGAAAGUUUAUUUUAACAGUGUUUUUCUACUUUUAAUUUUUUUUAUUUCUUCCCUAUAUUUUUUAAUAUAAACAAACUCAGGGAGAUGUUCUUAUGUAUAAAGUUUUUCAUCAUUUCACAGGUGAACAACAAAAAAUCACUAGUGAAGACAACUGAAAAAGAAACAAGUUCUUUAACUUCUGUCAUAUACAAAGAAAUGUCUUUCUUAUAUACCUCUACCUUAUUGUAGAGGAGAAUAAUGACUGUAUAUAAUCAUAUCUCACUGCUGCUUAAACAUUCAUACUACUUAAUCAUAUUUGCUUUACUUAUAAUAUGUUCUAUGAAAGAAACAUUUCAUAACUAGUUGAAUGAAAUUGGUGUAUGCAUUUGCUAAGAACAUAGUUCUUUAUUGCAAUGUAGGCACAUAUAGUUGAAAUUUCAUAGGUUCUUUCAGUCAUUAUUUUCAAGAAAUGGAUAAUCUGUGUAUCCAACAACAGGAUCACUGGUGUAAAAAGUUCUUCUAUCAGGCUUGUUCAAUUCAGCAUCCAUUUCAAAUCUCCUUGGUAGAUCUGGAUUAGCCAAAAACAAGCGUCCAUAAGCCACCAAAUCUGCACCAUCAUCGGCAACCACUUUGUUUCCACCACUCUUAUUGUACCCCCCUGCAACAAUAAAGGUUCCACCAAAAGCCUUUCUGAUAGGCAACAAGGACAUAUUGGUCUCACACUUUUCAAACAUUGUAAUCAUCCUGGGUUCAAUGACAUGACAAUAAAGAAUGUCCAAUUUGCUUAAGGAUUGUGCCAUAUAAAUGCCCAAUGCUUGAGGGUCAGAGUCUUUGCAAUCACAAUAGUUAGCAAAAGGAGACAGUCUAACACCAACUUUCUCUGAUCCAAUCUCAUCAACUAUUGCCUUCACAACCAUGAGUGGAAAUCGACAACGAUUCUCUAAGCUACCUCCAUAUUCAUCAUCUCUGUCGUUCACAUGGUCUUUAAGGAACUGCUCAAUUAAGUAUCCAUUGGCUCCAUGUAUCUCCACACCAUCAAUGCCUGAAUAAAUUACCAGUUGAAUCACACAUAUAUUGACUUUGUCACAUUAUCUUCUUCAUUAACAUGAAGUUUUUAGUAACACAAUUUUUUAUUAAAUAUGAUUGAGUAUAAAUAUAUCACUUAAGCACUUUAGCAUAUCACAUGCAUGCAAGUAUGUAGGUAACAUUUUGUAGAGUCAAAUCACAUUUUGAAUGAGGAACUAGAAGAAGAAGAGGAAUCUGUUGAGCAAAAGUUACUACCAGCUUCUAUAGCAUUUUUUGCUGCCAUUCUGAAGUCAUUGACAAUCAUAGGUAUUUCAUCUGUUCUGAGAGGACGUGGAGGGGGGUAUUUAGUGCUGCUACCUUCAAUUGCCUUGUUUGUACUUGAAAUUGGAGGUUCUCCAUUUGGCUGAUACACUGUUCAAUAUAUAUUAUCAAUGUUUACCGCAUCAUUCGUGCAAAACUUCAAAAUAAUUAAUGAAGGUUGAAAUUUAAAUGAAAGUUCAGAGACACCAUCAUAUGCACUAUAGUACUGUCAUAUAGAGUUUCUAGUGAAGGGGAAUAAAUACAAAUAUGAAUACCAUAGUUGGAGACUCUUCCAGCAUGCCAAAGUUGGCAAAAGAAUAUACCCCCUUUCUGGUGAACAGCUCUCACAAUUGGUUUCCAUGCUUCCACUUGUUCUCUUGUCCAAAUGCCUGGUGUAUUUGGGUAUCUUUAACAAGGAAAAAAGAUGCAACAAAUGAAUUAAUCAAAUUUCUGGGUACCAAAGCUUUUUGUGGUUGACCAGUUUUGAAAAACAUGUUAGUUUAUGUUUCUUCCUUUUUGCCAAUGUGUCUAGUUUCUGAAAUUCCUAGGAAUCAUACAUUGAGGUUAUUCACUUGAGAAAAAUACAGAAAAAAAUGAAAAGAAUGGAAGAUAAGACUACCCUUGUGCAGUUUCUGACACCCCUGAGGCUUCUCCAAUCAAAAGUCCACCCUUUGUUGUUCGUUGAGAAUAAUAGAGAGCAGCAUGAGGCUGAGCCACGAAGUUGUAAGAUCUUGUUCUUGUUAAUGGUGCCAGAACAAUCCUACAGCAUGGAACACAUAUUAACCAUUUCUCUAUACACUGAGUUAGAAUUUGGUUUGAGGAACCAAUAUGUGGUGAUCAAGGUAAUAGCCAUGUCAAUUUACCUGUGAGAUAGAUUGAAUUUUCCCAUCUUGAAAGGGGUGAGAAGGGGUAUCACUUCCCUUCCAUUAACCACCUUCUCCUUCUCUUCCAUUGUCUCCUUGUUCAUCAUCCUUUUCCCACCUUGCUAAUUCAGAAUCUGUGAUGGAAUAUGUGGACUCUUGCUCUUCAUUCUUAUAGUAAAUCAAAAUAGUUGUCUUUUUAACUUUUUUUUUAUCUUUUUUCUGAAAGUCAUAAUAAAUCCAAACGAAUUUAUGUGGACUGUUAACUACUAUAUAUUUUGCCUUGAGUUAAUCAAUUUGCAUUUAUUAUUAUAUCUUUUUUUUAUUAGAAAUAUAUUUGUUUUUAAUACUAUUAAUUGUUUUUCACAGGAUUUAAGAGAAUGAAUUCUUUAUUACUAUUUACACUUUUAUUUUUCCAACUAACAUUUUAUUUUUAUUUUUCUAUCUAGUGUCAUUUAGAAAGUAAAAAUAAAUAAAUUAAUAAAUUAAAUAAAAAAUAUAGUUUUUUUUUAAUUUUUUAUUUACUUUUAAAAUCGUGCUAGACAGAGAAAUAAAAACAAAAAGAUGUUAGAUAUGAAAGUAAAAAACAAAUGGUGAUAGAUGAGAAAAUAAAAGUAUAAAUAGUGCUAGACGAGGAAUUGAAUCAUUUAAGGUAUUUUAUUUCUUUUUCAAUAAAUUUAUUAUGUGUAAUAAUGUAUUGACAACCCAUAUUUUUUAUACAACUACAUUACAAUUCUUAAUAUUAUUAUUUUAAUAUUUUUUUAUAUCAUUUAAUUUUAAAUUUACCCUUUAUCAUAUAUAUUUAUUUCUAAAUUCAUUACAUCAAGACUUGUAUACAACUCAAUGGGUAGUCAAAGUAUCAUUUUUCUUUUGUUAUUUCAUAUAAAAAUUGAAAUUUUAGAUAUUAUUAAAUACUAUUUAAUAUUAUUAAUGUUAAUAAAAAUUAUUAAUGUUAUUAAAUAUUAUUAAUGUUAUUAAAUAUUCUUAAUAUUAUUAAAUAUUAUCCAUAUUAUUAAUAUUAAUAAUAUAAUACUAAUUAUAUUAAUUUUAUAAUAUUAAUAAUAUGUAUACUUAUUAGUUAUGAUUAAAUAUUAUUUAUGAAUAUUAAUUAUGAUUUUGUAAUUAUUGAUAUUAUAAUAAUAUUUUUAAUAUUAAGUAUAUAAUUAUUAUGAUAAUAGUUGGUAGGUAGUAGAGAUCCGUAGGUAAAAAUUGGUAGGUAAUAAGAUUCGUUAGUAAUAGUUAGUAGGUAAUGUUGAAUUUACCUACAAAUUCAUAAUCUGUAAGUAAUAUCCACAUUCCGUAGGUAGUGCUGAAUUUACCUAUGAAUUCAGAUCCAUGGAUAAAAAUUCAUAGAUAAUACUAUUUUUUUUGUAGUGAGAAAGAAAAAUAAUUUUUUACACAAGUUAUUUGAAGUUUUUAUUUUCUUAUCAUUUUAGAGUUAUUGUCCUGAUAUUUGUUGAAAAAAAUUAAAAUUAUGUUGAUGAGUAUCUUAUCACGAAUAAUUGAAAGUGAGUUUAGUAUAUAAUAUAAUCAUUGUUUUUAGUUAUUCUUCACUGUUAUGCCAAUUGAUGUCCACUGCUAUGAAACAUAAUCUCCUUCCCUUUUUAAAUGAUGGCCAUUUUUGAAUUUAGCUUUCUAAUUCAUUUUUCCCUUCACAUACUUUGAAUGAUUUUGUUGUGCAUUGUAUUUGUAGAGAAAAGAAACCGUUGACACUUUUCUCUCUCUCUUUUUUAUCAUUUGAGUUUUAUUUGUGCAUUGUAUUUAUCUCCUUAAAGAAAAUAUUAUGAGUGGGGAUAACUCUAAAUCAUAUUACAAUUAAAAAAAUAAAUAAUUUUAAAAUUGCAUUGUGCUACAUUAUAUAUGUAAACUAGUGUAAUGUGUGUCAUUAUAUUUGUAAACUAGCGUUUUUAGUGUGUAAUGAUCAAAAUAACAUUUUAAAUAUAUUAUAGGUUGAAGAUUUCACAUUAUUUAAAAAUUAAAACAUUUAAUAGUAUAUAAAUAGAUACCAACUUCACUUUAAAAACCGAUUUUAUGAAAUUUAGUUAUACAAAUUAAAAAGAUUAAUUCUUUAUAUUUUUUUAUAUUUAAACUCAAAAUUAUGUUUAUGUUAGCCAAAUAAGAUAUUUCAAUGUGAUUAGAAGUUUGUUGACAUUAAUAAAAAAAAAAUCAAUAAUUUAUAAAAGGAAUGGCUUGGUGGGUAUGAGAGAAUUAUAAAAGUUGGAGGAAGAGUGGAGAAGGUCUUCUUUUUAACAUAUCUUUUUUUAUCACAUUGGUAAGUGGUGAUAGGCCAUAAGAUUUGGGUGGAGAGUGAAAGCUUUCAUGAUAGACUACAUUUAUUUAGCAUAUCUUAAUUAAGGAUUUCAAUGUUCUCUUUUUCUUAAAGUGUAAUCUUCUUCUAACACUUCUUAAUUGUUGUAAAAAUGGAGAGAAGUAUAAUAUAUUCUCAAUACUAAGAUAUGCCAAAUUUUCAGUAUUUUUUUUUCACUAAAGAUAUAAUAAAGAUAUAAGAGACUUUCAACUUGAUAUAAUGAGAUUUGACAAAGUUCAAGGUAAAAUAUUACGUGAACAAAAAGUUUGACAAAACAUGAUAAAAUUACACUCAAUUUAGAUACGUCCAAAGUCUUUACCGUGAAAAAUCAAUAAUUUGAGUAAUUCAAUAACUUCAACAUAUAAAGACUUUUGAACUUCAAGAAAAAUAAAAAAACUACAAUCUUACUUCCACGAAAAAUACUAAUAUGGAUUAAAAAAUCUUAAAGAAAAAUAAAGAAAUUACAACCUUACUUCCACGAAAAAUAACAAUAUGGACUAAAAAAUCGAGACAUCCUCUAGCAAUACCAUUUGUAUUGAUCUUUUGUCCAAUUAAUAUAAAAAAAACUUUGAAAGAACUAAAAUAGACAAAAAAAAAAAAAACUCUUUCCACCUUGUGACAACAUAAAGAAAUUUUAAACAUGGAAAAUAAAAAAUGUCAUCAUGUAUUUUGUGGAAGCAUUACCUAUUAUGCUUAUAUAGCCUUCGAUAAUAUAGAAAAACACAUUGUUUCUAUGUAUACGAGUUUAACAAAUGUUAAAUCUAAUUAUGAUGGAGAUUGUAUUUAAGGUAUGAUAAUUGUAUUUUAUCUAAUGAAAGCUUUUUGUAAACCAUUCGUUUAAGCAAUGUAUUGUGAAAAAAAGGAAUGCCCCUCAUAAUUAAUUGUCAAAUAGAAAGAGUUAUAUAUAUUAAGGAAUGUGAAAAUUAUAUUAGUAAGCAUAACUAUUACCAAUUAUUAUUACUGACUUAGUAAGUUAUUUUCAGGUUUUUUGAUCAUGAUGGGUUAUUUUUUUUGUUUUCACCAAAAUGGAGUCUGUUUAAAAAAAUUACAAAUUUAGACAAGUCGUGCCAAUUCGGCACGACUUCAUAUGCAGAAGUCGUCCCAAUUAGGCACGACUUCUGCCCUGUCAUACUAGUCGUGUCAACUUAGCACGACUUCUGUCACGUCAUAAUUUUAUUUUAUUUUUAUUUAAUUGUUUAUAUAUUGGGUAGUAAGUUAUGUAAUGUUAAAAAUUAAUUUGAUACAUAAUUUUCUAAGAGUGUUAGUUUUAAGGAACAAAAAAUUGGAUAAUUGUGUAUGGAUCAUGUUUGAAUUGAAUGAAUAAAUAAAUAAUUUACUUCUAGCUCAACUUUAUAGUUUUAUUUUAUAUCUUGUAAUGAAUCUUACUAAUUUGUUUAGUUCUAAUUAAUAAUCUCUUCUCAUCAUUACGUGUUCUGUAAAAUCAUUACUUCUCAAGCUAUUUAUUUUGCAAAUUCACAACAAUAAUUCUCUAUUUAUUUUCCAAAUACAAUAAAUUUUCAUUUAUGUAUUUAUUUCCAAAUUCAAUAACAAUUUUCUUCAUUUUUUAAUUAAUCAAAUAAUCAAGUUAUUGUAUUACAUUACCGUCAAACAUGAUCCAUACACAAUUAUCCAAUUUUUUGUUCCUUAAAACUAACACUCUUAGAAAAUUAUGUAUCAAAUUAAUUUUUAACAUUACAUAACUUACUAAAAAAA